AGUGGAUCCUCUUGUUCUAACUGUCCUCUAUGCUCUAGUACUAAGGAAAGGAGUGAAGAAUAUUGCAAGGUGGAAAACACUCCCUCGACAAAGUUUUACAUUCUCUUCCAUGCCUACUCAGACUUUUCAAAUCUCAAAAUUGCCAUCAAAGGGGCAAAUCUAAAAAACGUUGUUGGUCCAGAAAAGUUGUAAACCAUUUAACGUGUUUUUUUAUAUUUUUUUCAAUAGGUUUUCUCUUUAUACUACUUUCUGUAAAUUAUGAAGAAAAUAAAAGAUGAAUGAAUCUGUAUCA